rnacentral:lncRNA from 1 species
UGAGUUAUGCUUGGAAGAACUUGAAAUGACUUGGAUUUUAGUUCUUAUUGUGUGGAAACUCAUGGCCUUUUGAUUGCUUUUGUUUUUGUAGGGAUUUAUGUGCAACAUGGAUGACUUACUAUGGAAGCAAAUUGACAUAAAGAUGAUGGAUUGAGGAUGAACAAUAGAGCAUGAAGAAUGAAGAAUGGAAACUAUAAAGUUCAAGAUUUUAGAAAACAUGUUGAUUUUGGGCAAAGUUGACCAAAAAGUCAAUUGCUGACCAAAGUCACCCUUGGGUCAACAUGAUAUUUUUGUUAUUUUCUUUGUAUGCAUUUUUAAAUGUGAUGGAAUAAACAUUAGUGUAAUAUAACUCUUUCGUUUUAAUGACAAUAAG